rnacentral:rRNA from 1 species
AUACGUAGGGGGCGAGCGUUGUCCGGAAUGAUUGGGCGUAAAGGGCGCGUAGGCGGCGCGGUAAGUCUGGAGUGAAAGUCCUGCUUUCAAGGUGGGAAUUGCUUUGGAUACUGCCGCGCUUGAGUGCAGGAGAGGUUAUCGGAAUUCCCGGCGCAGCGGUGAAAUGCGUAGAGAUCGGGAGGAACACCAGUGGCGAAGGCGGGUAACUGGACUGCAACUGACGCUGAGGCGCGAAAGUGUGGGGAGCAAACAGGAUUAGAUACCCUGGUAGUCCACACUGUAAACGAUGAAUGCUAGGUGUAAGAGGUAUCGACCCCUUUUGUGCCGGAGUCAACACAAUAAGCAUUCCGCCUGGGGAGUACGGCCGCAAGGUUGAAACUCAAAUGAAUUGACGGGG